rnacentral:rRNA from 1 species
CGGAGGGUGCGAGCGUUAAUCGGAGUUACUGGGCGUAAAGGGCGCGUAGGCGGUGAUGUUAGUGCGAUGUGAAAGCCCUGGGCUUAACCUGGGAAGUGCAUCGUAAACUGCAUUGCUGGAGUAUAUGAGAGGGUGGCGGAAUUUCCGGUGUAGCGGUGAAAUGCGUAGAGAUCGGAAGGAACGUCGAUGGCGAAGGCAGCCACCUGGCAUAAUACUGACGCUGAGGCGCGAAAGCGUGGGUAGCGAACAGGAUUAGAUACCCUGGUAGUCCACGCUGUAAACGAUGAGAACUAGAUGUUGCCUGGGGAACUAGGCAGUAUCGAAGCUAACGCGAUAAGUUCUCCGCCUGGGAAGUACGGCCGCAAGGUUG